UAGGGAAUCUUCGGCAAUGGACGAAAGUCUGACCGAGCAACGCCGCGUGAGUGAAGAAGGUUUUCGGAUCGUAAAACUCUGUUGUUAGAGAAGAACAAGGACGUUAGUAACUGAACGUCCCCUGACGGUAUCUAACCAGAAAGCCACGGCUAACUACGUGCCAGCAGCCGCGGUAAUACGUAGGUGGCAAGCGUUGUCCGGAUUUAUUGGGCGUAAAGCGAGCGCAGGCGGUUUCUUAAGUCUGAUGUGAAAGCCCCCGGCUCAACCGGGGAGGGUCAUUGGAAACUGGGAAACUUGAGUGCAGAAGAGGAGAGUUGAAUUCCAUGUGUAGCGGUUAAAUGCGUAGAUAUAUGGAGGAACACCAGUGGCGAAGGCGGCUCUCUGGUCUGUAACUGACGCUGAGGCUCGAAAGCGUGGGGAGCAAACAGG
rnacentral:rRNA from 1 species